rnacentral:ncRNA from 1 species
CAAAGUCUUGGUCUUAAACCUCAUAUUGUCUAAAUAUUUGUUUAUACAUGCAAGCCUCUUCAUAACGGUGAAACAGCCAUACAAACCAUAUUGAGCUGAUAUCAGCUACAAGCAAUGACAUCAAGCAUAAGCCACACCCCCACGGGCACACAGCAGUAGUUAAUAUUAGGCCAUAAGUGUAAACUUGACCUAGCAAAAUAUAUCUAGAGCCGGUUAAUCUCGUGCCAGCGACCGCGGUUAUACGAUAGGCUCAGGACAAUAUAAACGGCGUAAAGCACGACUAAAAUAAAGUACAAUCCUUAGGAUAGAAACCAACCCAGGCUGUAAAAAGCCAUAAGCUUUAAUAAUUCAUCCUAAGCCUAAACUCUUUUAACUCGAUAAAGCCGGGACAUAAACUAAGAUUAGAUACCUUACUAUACCCUGCCACAACACACAAUUAAAGUACUAAUUGUUCGCCAAACAACUACGAGUAGUAACUUAAAACUUAAAAGACUUGACGGUGCUUCACCACAACCUAGAGGAGCCUGUCCAUAACCGACAACCCACGAUUAACCCCACCCUCUCUCGCCAACAGUCUAUAUACCACCGUCAUAAGCUUACCUUGUAAAAGAAACAAAAUGAGCUAAAUAGCACUACGCUAAAACGACAGGUCGAGGUGUAACCCAUGAGAGGGCAAAGAUGGGCUACAUUCUCCUACAGAGCAUACGAAUAACACUAUGAAUAUAGUGACUGAAGGUGGAUUUAGUAGUAAGAUAGGAAUAAAAUACCAAACUGAACAUAAAGCAAUGAAGUGCGUACACACCGCCCGUCAUCCCUGCCCAUAUAUAACUAAUCUACAUAAACCCCUCCCAAUACUUACCCAGGGCAAGUCGUAACAUGGUAAGUGUACUGGAAAGUGCACUUAGAAA